UACAGAGGGUGCGAGCGUUAAUCGGAAUUACUGGGCGUAAAGGGCGCGUAGGCGGUGUAAUGUGAGUGAUGUGAAAGCCCCGGGCUUAACCUGGGAAGCGCAUCGCAGACUAUUAGACUAGAGUAUAUGAGAGGGUGGCGGAAUUUCCGGUGUAGCGGUGAAAUGCGUAGAGAUCGGAAGGAACGUCGAUGGCGAAGGCAGCCACCUGGCAUAAUACUGACGCUGAGGCGCGAAAGCGUGGGUAGCGAACAGG
rnacentral:rRNA from 1 species